GCCUGGAUGGUCUAGAGGUAUGAUUCGUCGUUCGGGUUCAAAACAUCUUGACUCGACGAGGUCCUGGGUUCGAUUCCCAGUUCAGGCC